rnacentral:rRNA from 1 species
GACGAACGCUGGCGGCGUGCUUAACACAUGCAAGUCGAACGGAAAGGCCCUGCUUGCGUGGGGUGCUCGAGUGGCGAACGGGUGAGUAACACGAGAGUAACCUGCUCUUGACUUGGGGAUAACUUCAGGAAACGGGGGCUAAUACCGGAUAGGAGCCCCUGCUGCAUGGGGGGGGGUGGAAAGUUUCGGCGGUUGGGGAUGGACUCGCGGCUUAUCAGCUUGUUGGUGGGGUAGUGGCUUACCAAGGCUUUGACGGGUAGCCGGCCUGAGAGGGUGACCGGCCACAUUGGGACUGAGAUACGGCCCAGACUCCUACGGGAGGCAGCAGUGGGGAAUAUUGCACAAUGGGCGGAAGCCUGAUGCAGCAACGCCGCGUGCGGGAUGACGGCCUUCGGGUUGUAAACCGCUUUCGCCUGUGACGAAGCGUGAGUGACGGUAAUUGGUAAAGAAGCACCGGCUAACUACGUG